CCCUGUGCUCUAAAAGCUGACUGCAGUUCAAUAAGAAAAAAAGAAACAAAGACUGUCACGACUUCCUGUGGGAAAAUGAAAUGUUGACAAUCAGUGAUCAUCACAAUGGCCUGGAUUCCCACACAUAUCCCAAAUGACCAGACUGACAUCCGUUGUUAAAAGCAUAUGAUGGUUACCAAAGAUUGUACAAACAAUGUACACAGGUACAGACACAGGAUAAUACAAAUACGCUGAGGCUGUGUGGCCGGGCGUUUGUGCGGGCAGUGGUGUACACCUGCG